rnacentral:rRNA from 1 species
CAGGCCUAACACAUGCAAGUCGAACGGUAACAGGUUAAGCUGACGAGUGGCGAACGGGUGAGUAAUAUAUCGGAACGUGCCCAGUCGUGGGGGAUAACUACUCGAAAGAGUAGCUAAUACCGCAUACGACCUGAGGGUGAAAGCGGGGGAUCGCAAGACCUCGCGCGAUUGGAGCGGCCGAUAUCAGAUUAGGUAGUUGGUGGGGUAAAGGCCCACCAAGCCAACGAUCUGUAGCUGGUCUGAGAGGACGACCAGCCACACUGGGACUGAGACACGGCCCAGACUCCUACGGGAGGCAGCAGUGGGGAAUUUUGGACAAUGGGCGCAAGCCUGAUCCAGCCAUGCCGCGUGCGGGAAGAAGGCCUUCGGGUUGUAAACCGCUUUUGUCAGGGAAGAAAAGGUUCUGGUUAAUACCUGGGACUCAUGACGGUACCUGAAGAAUAAGCACCGGCUAACUACGUGCCAGCAGCCGCGUAUAAU